CCUACGGGCGGCAGCAGUGAGGAAUAUUGGUCAAUGGACGAGAGUCUGAACCAGCCACGUAGCGUGAAGGAUGACUGCCCUCUGGGUUGUAAACUUCUUUUAUAUGGGAGUAAAAUGUUCCACGUGUGGGAUUUUGUCUGUACCAUAUCAUUACGGCUCGGCUAACUACGUGCCAGCAGCCGCGGUAAUACGGAGGCUCCGAGCGUUAUCCGGAUUUAUUGGGUUUAACGGGAGCGUAGGUGGAUUGUUAAGUCAGUUGUGAAAGUUUGCGGCUCAACCGUAAAAUUGCAGUUGAAACUGGCAGUCUUGAGUACAGUAGAGGUGGGCGGAAUUCGUGGUGUAGCGGUGAAAUGCGUAGAGAUCACGAAGAACUCCGAUUGCGAAGGCAGCUCACUGGACUGCAACUGACACUGAGGCUCGAAAGUGUGGGUAUCAAACAGGAUUAGAUACCCCAGUAGUC
rnacentral:rRNA from 1 species